AGGCAACACGAUGCGGGCAAAACUUUCCGAAUCCAAGCGGUGGCUGGAUUCUCCGCAGCAGCGUCACGACAUCCAGGAUGUUUCCUAUCAGAUGUCAAAUAUACAUCUAUUAGUUGUGGAGCAUCAGACCUGGAAUGAUUUGAUGAAGGUCCACAGCAGGUUGCGAAUGCCCUCAAAACGGUUGAGCAGUUUCACCAGACGCAUAACACGGAAAAGCCUGAAGAGUGUGAUUGACACGCUCAUAUUCUCAGAGUCCUGAAGAACCAAGAAAAUGCUUGAGAAUCUGUGGAUAACGCCAGCAUAGAUCUUUUUUAACAGCCAGUGAGACAAUACAGUCCACCCUGAGCAGCAAGAGCCGCCUGGAAAUAAAGAAAAUACCAGAGGAAAUGAGUGAAAGCCAAUAUCAGCACUCACA